UAUGUGUAUAUAUGUGUGUAUAUAUGCGUAUAUAUGUGUGUAUAUAUGUAUAUAUAUGUGUGUGUAUAUGUAUAUAUAAUUGUACCAUUUUUAAAAAUUACAUAUGUGACUGCAAAAAGGCAUGAGAAGGCUGGGAUUACAGGCAUGAGGCACCAUGCCCAGCUGAAUGCCUUAAUUUUAACAAGAGGGGGACUGUUGAUGGUACCCACUUCACAGCGUUGUCCUGGG
rnacentral:lncRNA from 1 species